ACUGGUGAGUAACGCGUGGGUGACCUACCUUGAGGAUGGGGAUAGCUGUUAGAAAUAGCAGGUAAUACCGAAUAAGUUCACAAUGUUAUGAUAAUGUGAAGAAAGGAGCUACGGCUCCGCCUUGAGAUGGGCCCGCGUCCCAUUAGCUAGUUGGUGAGGUAAAGGCCCACCAAGGCGAAGAUGGGUAGCCGGCCUGAGAGGGUGAACGGCCACACUGGGACUGAGAUACGGCCCAGACUCCUACGGGAGGCAGCAGCUAAGAAUAUUCCACAAUGGACGAAAGUCUGAUGGAGCGACGCCGCGUGGAUGACGAGGGCCGAAAGGUUGUAAAAUCCUUUUGCGGAUGAAGAAUAAGUGGUGGAGGGAAUGCCAUCAUGAUGACGUUAGUCCGCGAAUAAGCCCCGGCUAAUUACGUGCCAGCAGCCGCGGUAACACGUAAGGGGCGAGCGUUGUUCGGAAUUAUUGGGCGUAAAGGGCGCGUAGGCGGCCGCGUAAGUCUGAUGUGAAAACCCCGGGCUCAACCCGGGAACUGCAUUGGAAACUGCGCGGCUUGAGUCACGGAGGGGAAGCCGGAAUUCCUGGUGUAGGGGUGAAAUCUGUAGAUAUCAGGAAGAACACCGAUGGCGAAGGCAGGCUUCCAGCCGAUGACUGACGCUGAGGCGCGAAAGUGCGGGGAGCAAACAGGAUUAGAUACCCUGGUAGUCCGCACUAUAAACGAUGCACACUAGGUGUCGGGACGAGCGUCUCGGCGCCGGAGCGAACGUGAUAAGUGUGCCGCCUGGGGAGUAUGCCCGCAAGGGUGAAACUCAAAGGAAUUGAC
rnacentral:rRNA from 1 species